CAGGGUUUCACCGUGUUAGCCAGGAUGGUCUCGAUCUCCUGAUCUUGUGAUCCGCCCGCCUCGGCCUCCCAAAGUGCUGGGAUUACAGGCAACAGACACCGCGCCGGGCCAGGAGUAUGUGUUUUAAAUAAUCUGCAAAAAAUAUGCUCAGGCUAAUUUUUUUUUUUUUUUUAAUUUUUAGAUGGAGUUUCGUUCUUGUUGCCCAGGCUGGAGUGCAAUGGAACGAUCUCGGCUCUCUGCAAGCACCGCCUCCCGGGUUCAAGCGAUUCUCCUGCCGCAGCCUCCCCAGUAGCUGGGAUUACAAGCAUGUGCCCAGCUAAUUUUCUAUUUUUAGUAGAGACAGGGUCUCUCCAUGUUGGUCAGGCUGGUCUCCAACUCCCGACCUCAGAUGAUCCGCCCGCCUCGGCCUCCCAAAGUGCUGGGAUUAGAGGCAUGACCCACCACGCCCGACUAAAAUGUUUAUUAUAGUGAAAUUUGAUUAGAGACGUGAAUGAUCUAAGGGAGAAAACCACAGAAAAAUUUUGACAAGAAGGGUUUUUGCAAGAUGGCAAGAACAGUGUCCCUAGAGGAGGAAUAAGCACACAUUUGGGCAAUGCUGAGAAUGCUAGUCGGCCAAAGAAUAAAUGAAGAGAGGAACGGGCUGGGAGAAUAGGAGAAGAGGUCCAAGACGCAGGCAGGGGUAAAUCUGGGAGAGCUUUUUAUCUAUGGCAAGGAGUUUGGACUUUAUUCUGAAUGUAAUUGGAAACCACUGGGAGGCUUUGAUCUAUGAUAUGACUUCAUGUCUUAAAAAAAAAAAGUCACUAGGACACUUCUGUUGUGUACUGGCUAUUGAUCUUGCAGCAUAACAGGAAUAUAACCCUGGAUGUCAGUAAGUUAGCUUUCAGGAUACUUCAGGAGGCUUAGCCUAGGGAGGUUGCUUAAGGUUGUGAGAAGGGGUCGAGUUUAUACUGUGCUUUGAGCAUCAAUAUUAGGAUCUGAUGUUGAUGGAGCAGAUGGGAUGUAUCACUAAGAAAAAUAAGGAUGACUCCAUGGAGAAGCAGGUUUUGGAGGGAAGUCUAUCGUUCUGGUUCGGACAUUUGAAGUUAGGCAUACCCAUUAUUCAUCCAAGUGGAGAUGGCUUAUAGAUGGUUGAACAUACCAGUCUGGGGCUCAGGGAACAGUCAGGGCUGUGGGUAUCACUGAAAGCCAUAGGUUUAUGUAAUAUUCGCUAGUGAGUGAAUAUACAUAAAGAGAAGAGGGCCAAGGAUUUAGCACUGGGACAUUCCAACAUUUAAAGGACAGAAAGAAUAUGAGAAGUCUGGAAAAGUGACUGAAAACAAGCAUUCAAUAUAAUGCAAGGAAAACCAGGGGAAUGGAAUAUCCUAGAAGAUGCAUGGAAAAACUUGUUUCAGAAGUAGAAAGACAACCUUUAAUGCCCAAUGCUGCUGAGAUCAAGUAAGUAAAGGCUAAGAAUAGUCUUUGGAUUUGGCAGGAUGGAGACCUUUGGUGACCUUGGUAUAGUGAGUUUGAAAGCCUGGAUGAUGUCAGUUUAGGAGAAUGUGGGUGGUGAGGAAAUGGAGAUAUGAAAUACACACAACUCUUAUGUCAUUUUCUGGAAAGAUUUUACACUUCGACUCCCAUACAGUUUUGAACCUAACUCUUUUCCAGACCUCCUUGAUCUUGAACUUCCAAUCUUUCUCCUUCCAGGUCCCUGAACAACCAGCCAAGACAGUAACUACAGCCUGUGGACAUUUCAUCCAGGCCACUUCAUUUUUCCUACAAAGUAGACAACCAGGUGCAUCAUGCCUAAAGUUCUGCCCACUGGGAAGAAUACUCUUCACUACUGUCUUUCAAGAAAUGCAGGAUUGAAUGCCUCUGAGAAGAACCGCCACAAUCUAACCAUCUUGUCAAUUCCAUUCCCUGGAACCUCAGGAGUUGAGUCUUCCUACCAGUUUCACGGAGUCCACAUCAGCCUUCUUUUUCUAUUCCUCGAUCUUCCAUUUCAGACAGUGUUGGUAAUUGGUUUUUAAUCAGUUCAUUUACCUGAAUGAUUUAUACUGCCUCAGGUAGGCACAAUUUAAUGACACCCAUUAUAGUGCUUUAGAUUAUUUCACAAAUAGAUAUGCUGUUGUCCUUCAAGAUUGAAGAUCCAUGCAUAUGAGUGUUAUCAUUCAUACUUCUCUGAUGUAAAGUCCAGUGCAUGACUGACAAUGAUAAGAAAUGAUAGUUUACCACGUGUGAACUAUGUAGCAGGCAUUUUGCUAAGUGCUUUAUACGCAUUAUCUUAUUUAACAGACAUUUUCAUAGAACAGAAGUAAACAGAAUCAAUCACUGUCCAUGGAGUUGCAUUUAUUUUGUAUAGAGGCUAUUUACAAUUGUUUCUUCUCUAUUUCUCAGAUGACCAAUUCUUUGCUCAAAAUUGUCAGUUCACUUUGAGCAUUAAUAACAAACUGAGAAAAUCACUAAACCAACUAGGUAAGAAAUCUAGGUUCAUUCUUGAUUCUGGCAAUAACUGUGAGAACUUAAUUCAGUGACUUAACCUUUGAGUUUAGACCAG
rnacentral:lncRNA from 1 species